GGCUGUGCCGGCAGCCUAAACAUGCAAGUCCGAACGGUAGCACAGAAGAGCUUGCUUUCGGGUGACGAGUGGCGGACGGGUGAGUAAUGUCUGGGAAACUGCCUGAUGGAGGGGGAUAACUACUGGAAACGGUAGCUAAUACCGCAUAACGUCGCAAGACCAAAGAGGGGGACCUUCGGGCCUCUUGCCAUCAGAUGUGCCCAGAUGGGAUUAGCUAGUAGGUGGGGUAACGGCUCACCUAGGCGACGAUCCCUAGCUGGUCUGAGAGGAUGACCAGCCACACUGGAACUGAGACACGGUCCAGACUCCUACGGGAGGCAGCAGUGGGGAAUAUUGCACAAUGGGCGCAAGCCUGAUGCAGCCAUGCCGCGUGUAUGAAGAAGGCCUUCGGGUUGUAAAGUACUUUCAGCGGGGAGGAAGGCGGUGAGGUUAAUAACCUCAUCGAUUGACGUUACCCGCAGAAGAAGCACCGGCUAACUCCGUGCCAGCAGCCGCGGUAAUACGGAGGGUGCAAGCGUUAAUCGGAAUACUGGGCGUAAAGCGCACGCAGGCGGUCUGUCAAGUCGGAUGUGAAAUCCCCGGGCUCAACCUGGGAACUGCAUUCGAAACUGGCAGGCUAGAGUCUUGUAGAGGGGGGUAGAAUUCCAGGUGUAGCGGUGAAAUGCGUAGAGAUCUGGAGGAAUACCGGUGGCGAAGGCGGCCCCCUGGACAAAGACUG
rnacentral:rRNA from 1 species